rnacentral:rRNA from 1 species
AUGGAGCUUGUGCAGCUUGUCGAGGCCUGUUUCCCGCCGGAUGCGCUCGCCCAUGGCGGCCUCGACCUCCUCGUCGCCUUCUCCUCCUUCCCAGACUCCAUGUCCCGUGACCCGGGACGUGGUCCCGCUGGGGAUUGCUGGACCGGGAUGGCCACCGUGAUGAACGGCGGGAGCGCCACGGCAGCGGACUGGCAGCGGUGA